rnacentral:lncRNA from 1 species
CGUAGUGCAGCGCCGCGGAGCACGCCGGAAGUCAUGGUUCCCACAGACCGGAAGUCGUAGUCCGCGCGGUGCGCGCCGGGAUCGCGAUGGCGGCGCUGGAGCUGCUGUCGGACGAGGGGUACCGCGCCGACGGGCGUCGCGCUACGGAGCUGCGGAAGGUGCGGGCCCGGAUGGGGGUGUUCGCGCAGGCGGACGGCUCGGCCUACAUCGAGCAGGGCAACACCAAGGCGCUGGCCGUGGUGUACGGACCGCACGAGCUGAACCUUCCCAGCAACGCACGCUCUGUAUGCAGCUGUAUUACGUCUAUUCUGUCACAACACUGCAAGAAGAUCCCGCAGGAGACCAAAGCAGGGAACAACCGAUAGCAAACCUGAGAAAGCACCUGAAGAGACACCUGAAGGCCUGGCAUCAUCCCCCCCCCCGGUGCUCCUUGUUUAACGAGGACUCGGAGACAAUCACCACAUCAAUGCGACAAGGAGAGCGCUGGCACAUCCUGGAACAACAGGAUGGCUGCCGGCUGACAGCAGGUAACCAACAACCAAAACUGAUCAGGUGGUGAACCUGGAGCGCCCAGCCAGUGGGGAAACAGGGCAGGGGAUGGGAAAGGGAAAAGCAGGGGUAAAGGCUGGCAUCUUGUGCACAUAGGCGCUCCUGCUUGCGGGACGCCCGCC